AUUGAACGCUGGCGGCAUGCUUUACACAUGCAAGUCGAACGGUAACAGGCUAAGCUGACGAGUGGCGAACGGGUGAGUAAUGCAUCGGAACGUGCCCGAUCGUGGGGGAUAACGCAGCGAAAGCUGCGCUAAUACCGCAUACGAUCUGAGGAUGAAAGCGGGGGAUCGCAAGACCUCGCGCGAUUGGAGCGGCCGAUAUCAGAUUAGGUAGUUGGUGGGGUAAAGGCCCACCAAGCCGACGAUCUGUAGCUGGGCUGAGAGGACGACCAGCCACACUGGGACUGAGACACGGCCCAGACUCCUACGGGAGGCAGCAGUGGGGAAUUUUGGACAAUGGGCGAAAGCCUGAUCCAGCCAUGCCGCGUGCAGGAUGAAGGCCUUCGGGUUGUAAACUGCUUUUGUACGGAACGAAAAGGACUGCCCUAAUACGGUGGUCCCAUGACGGUACCGUAAGAAUAAGCACCGGCUAACUACGUGCCAGCAGCCGCAGUAA
rnacentral:rRNA from 1 species